rnacentral:rRNA from 1 species
UUGGAUAACCGUGGUAAUUCUAGAGCUAAUACAUGCUGAAAAUCCCGACUCCGGAAGGGAUGUAUUUAUUAGAUUCAAAACCAAUGCCCUCUGGGCUCACUGGUGAUUCAUGAUAACUCCUCGAAUCGCACGGCCUUGCGCCGGCGAUGGUUCAUUCAAAUUUCUUCCCUAUCAACUUUCGAUGUUUGGGUAGUGGCCAAACAUGGUUGCAACGGGUAACGGAGGGUUAGGGCUCGACCCCGGAGAAGGAGCCUGAGAAACGGCUACUACAUCCAAGGAAGGCAGCAGGCGCGCAAAUUACCCAAUCCCGACACGGGGAGGUAGUGACAAUAAAUACUGAUACAGGGCUCUUUUGGGUCUUGUAAUUGGAAUGAGUACAAUUUAAAUCCCUUAACGAGGAACAAUUGGAGGGCAAGUCUGGUGCCAGCAGCCGCGGUAAUUCCAGCUCCAAUAGCGUAUAUUAAAGUUGUUGUGGUUAAAAAGCUCGUAGUUGAACCUUGGGCCUGGCUGGCCGGUCCGCCUCACCGCGUGUACUGGUCCGGCCGGGCCUUUCCCUCUGUGGAACCCCAUGCCCUUCACUGGGCGUGGCGGGGAAACAGGACUUUUACUUUGAAAAAAUUAGAGUGCUCCAGGCAGGCCUAUGCUCGAAUACAUUAGCAUGGAAUAAUGAAAUAGGACGCGCGGUUCUAUUUUGUUGGUUUCUAGGACCGCCGUAAUGAUUAAUAGGGACAGUCGGGGGCAUCAGUAUUCAAUAGUCAGAGGUGAAAUUCUUGGAUCUAUUGAAGACUAACUACUGCGAAAGCAUUUGUCAAGGAUGUUUUCAUUAAUCAGGAACGAAAGUUAGGGGAUCGAAGACGAUCAGAUACCGUCGUAGUCUUAACCAUAAACUAUGCCGACUAGGGAUCGGACGAUGUUAUUUUUUGACUCGUU